UCAUAGCUUAGCAGAGAGCUGAUAGAGAUGUGUGAGCUUUCGCCACAAAUUGAGUGAAUUUGAGUAGUUCGCUGAUGUUUACCAUGACGUUUGCCUUUUGGUUAUGUUUUAGUGUUUGACAUGAACGGUUCGUGGCUCCUUUGUGUUUUUUAAAAAAAAAGUAAUAUAAAGGAAACUCUAUAAAAGAGGAAAAACAUUAAAAGAAGUGCUUAUAAACUAAGAAAAAAUAAACAAAAAAAAAAAAAAAAUAAUAAACAGAAUUUCCCAAAAACAAAACACAAAUA
rnacentral:sRNA from 1 species